rnacentral:ncRNA from 1 species
CUCUUAUCAAGAGUGGCGGAGGGACUGGCCCUAUGAAGCCCGGCAACCUGCGUCUUUUUAGCUAAAAAGGCGCAAAGGUGCCAAUUCCUGCAAAACGCUAAAGGCGUUUUGAGAGAUAAGAG